UACGUAGGGCGCGAGCGUUGUCCGGAAUUAUUGGGCGUAAAGAGCGUGUAGGCGGCUUUACAGGUCCGUUGUGAAAACUCGAGGCUCAACCUCGAGACGCCGGUGGAAACCGUAAAGCUAGAGUCCGGAAGAGGAGAGUGGAAUUCCUGGUGUAGCGGUGAAAUGCGCAGAUAUCAGGAGGAACACCCGUGGCGAAAGCGGCUCUCUGGGACGGUACUGACGCUGAGACGCGAAAGCGUGGGGAGCAAACAGG
rnacentral:rRNA from 1 species